GGACAAGAAAUGCACAUGGAGAUUCAAAGUACCCUUUGGUCCCUGGGCAUGAGAUUGUUGGAGUUGUCAAGGAGAUUGGUUCUACUGUGAAACACUACAAAAUUGGUGAUCAUGUCGGUGUCGGAACAUAUGUUAACUCAUGUCAAGAUUGUGAAUAUUGUAAUGAGAAGAUAGAAGUGCAUUGCUCAAAGAGGGCGACUUCCACGUUCAACCGUCUUGAUUCCGAUGGCACUAUCACAAAAGGAGGCUAUUCGAAGUACAUCAUAGUCAAAGAGAGGUACUGCUAUAUGAUACCUGAUAACUACCCCCUAGC
rnacentral:misc_RNA from 1 species